AGAACGAACGCUGGCGGCAGGCUUAACACAUGCAAGUCGAGCGCCCCGCAAGGGGAGCGGCAGACGGGUGAGUAACGCGUGGGAACAUACCCUCCGGUUCGGAAUAGCUCAGGGAAACUUGGAUUAAUACCGGAUACGGCCUAGCGGCGAAAGAUUCAUCGCCGGAGGAUUGGCCCGCGUUCGAUUAGCUAGUUGGUGAGGUAACGGCUCACCAAGGCGACGAUCGAUAGCUGGUCUGAGAGGAUGAUCAGCCACAUUGGGACUGAGACACGGCCCAAACUCCUACGGGAGGCAGCAGUGGGGAAUAUGGACAAUGGGCGCAAGCCUGAUCCAGCCAUGCCGCGUGAGUGAUGACGGCCUUAGGGUUGUAAAGCUCUUUCGCUAGGGACGAUAAUGACGGUACCCGUAGAAGAAGCCCCGGCUAACUUCGUGCCAGCAGCCGC
rnacentral:rRNA from 1 species